UACGUAGGGGCCGAGCGUUGUCCGGAGUUACUGGGCGUAAAGCGCUCGCAGGUGGCCCGAUGCGUCGUGCGUGAAAGACCCCGGCUCAACUGGGGAGUGUCGUGCGAUACGGUCGGGCUGGAGGCCAGUAGGGGGAUGCGGAAUUCCGGGUGUAGUGGUGGAAUGCGUAGAUAUCUGGAGGAACACCGGUGGCGAAGGCGGCAUCCUGGACCGAGAUUGACGCUGAGGCGCGAAAGCCAGGGGAGCAAACGGG
rnacentral:rRNA from 1 species